UACGUAGGGGGCAAGCGUUGUCCGGAAUUAUUGGGCGUAAAGAGCGUGUAGGCGGCCCGGUAAGUCCGCUGUGAAAGUCGGGGGCUCAACCCUCGAAUGCCGGUGGAUACUGUCGGGCUAGAGUGCGGAAGAGGCGAGUGGAAUUCCUGGUGUAGCGGUGAAAUGACGCAGAUAUCAGGAGGAACACCGGUGGCGAAGGCGGGUCUCUGGGCCGAUACUGACGCUGGAGGAGCGAAAGCGUGGGGAGCGAACAGG
rnacentral:rRNA from 1 species